ACGAACGCUGGCGGCGUGCCUAAUACAUGCAAGUAGAACACUGAAGGAGGAGCUUGCUUCUCUGGAUGAGUUGCGAACGGGUGAGUAACGCGUAGGUAACCUGCCUGGUAGCGGGGGAUAACUAUUGGAAACGAUAGCUAAUACCGCAUAAGAGUAGAUGUCGCAUGACAUUUGCUUAAAAGGUGCAAUUGCAUCACUACCAGAUGGACCUGCGUUGUAUUAGCUAGUUGGUGAGGUAACGGCUCACCAAGGCAACGAUACAUAGCCGACCUGAGAGGGUGAUCGGCCACACUGGGACUGAGACACGGCCCAGACUCCUACGGGAGGCAGCAGUAGGGAAUCUUCGGCAAUGGACGGAAGUCUGACCGAGCAACGCCGCGUGAGUGAAGAAGGUUUUCGGAUCGUAAAGCUCUGUUGUAAGAGAAGAACGAGUGUGAGAGUGGAAAGUUCACACUGUGACGGUAUCUUACCAGAAAGGGACGGCUAACUACGUG
rnacentral:rRNA from 1 species